GCUUGUCUCAAAGAUUAAGCCAUGCAUGUCUCAGUAUAAGCUUUUACACGGCGAAACUGCGAAUGGCUCAUUAAAACAGUUAUCGUUUCUUUGGUGGUUAUUGAUUACAUGGAUAACCGUGGUAAUUCUUGAGCUAAUACAUGCGAAAAAUCUCGACUCACGGAGAGAUGCUUUUAUUAGAUCAAAACCAAACGGCUUCGGCCGUCUCAUUGGUGACUCUGAAUAACUUUGGGCUGAUCGUAUGGCCUUGUGCCGACGACGUUUCCUUCGAAGGUGUGCCCUAUCAACUGUCGACUGUGAUAUAGACGCUCACAGUGGUUUUGACGGGUAACGGGGAAUCAGGGUUCGAUUCCGGAGAGGGAGCCUUAAAAACGGCUACCACAUCCAAGGAAGGCAGCAGG
rnacentral:rRNA from 1 species